GACCCUGUGUAGACAAGAGCAGCGAGCUGUGUUUAGGUUGGAGCUAGGAGGACAUGGCCUGAACUACCUGCACUGGCCUGGGGUGUGGGGAUGGGGUCAUUCCUACCCUGGGGUACCCUAGGGGAAGCCAGAGGCCGGAUGGGUGGUCGGGAUAGGGUGUAAGUUCGAGUCUUGAUUAUCCCUGUAGUUGGGGAAAGUCCCCAUUCCCAGCAGGGUGUGUUCAUUUGAAACUUGUGGCGGUCCAAUCCUACAGAACAGGCCCUAGAAGUUCACCCAUCUUCUGCUUGGGGAUCUGGAGGGAAAGAUGGAGUGCACGACCUCCUAAAUCCUCAUUUAGCUGAUGGACAGGAUUAGGUGACCACUAGCUCAAGAUCCCGCUUCUCUGAGAUUGAGAGAAAAAACAGCCUGGACCUUCCCAAUCGACUUCAAGGCUCUCUGCCCAGACGGCUCUGCGGGAGAGGGCAGCCCGAGGGUGGCAGUGUGGACCUAGCAAGCUAGAGAGAGCACAGCACACGUCUGGGCAUUGCUGGGCACCUGCCUGGAUGUAGCCACUGAGGAAACACCUGUCCAAGGCCACACAGCUGGGGCCAGAAGCAACUCCCCAGUUGUCUACUCUCCUAUCCUCAUCGGCUUCUGCUCAAUCCCCCGGACCUUGGAACAGAGGGUCCCGCACUUACACAGGCCAUGACUGAAGCGAAGAGAUUCCUGCGACCUGCUCCUCCAGCUGUCAGAAGACUCCACCCGAGAGAUGGGCCCCAGGCCCGCGUCGACCUUUUAACUGGAUCAGACCCGACUCCGCCUGACUCAGCCUUCCUGACCUGGCCAUCACCCUUCUAAGCCAAAGGCACAAAGAUAAGUUACUGUCUCAAACAUGCAGAGCAAAGCCUUGUAGGAGAACGCCUCUCUGCAUGGGGCAAGUGUUCCUGAGGUCACUCCAUACACCCAGAAACAGGAGUGACCCUCUCCUGAGAACCCCCAUGUCCCCUUAAGCAACACGACUUCUUCAAGCCAUCUUACAGGGCCAGUCUGCUCAGCUGUGCGUAAUAUCUCUUGCUAUUUGUGCCUAUUCUUCCAAUAUUUAAACUUAAAAUAUGUGGUGGCUCAUGCUGUGACACCAGCACUUGGAAACUGAGGCAGGAGGAUUAGGAAUUCAAGACCGCCAUCUGCUACAUGAGACCCUGGCUCAAAAAAAAAAAAAGUUAGCAGCUAGCCAGGCAGUGGUAGUACACACCGUUGAUCCCAGCAUUCAGGAUAUAGACACAGGCAGGUCUCUGUGAGUUCGAGGCCAGACUGGUUUACAGAUGGAAGAUCCAGGAUAACCAGCACUACAUGGAGAAAUCCCGUCAUGGAGAGUAAACCAAACCAAACCAACCAAACAAACAAACAAAAAUUAACAGCUAAAACAGCAAUGACUGCCUCUCCAAAAGCCAACACACAUCAGUACCCCAAAACAGACUUGGGGUUACUGAUACUCUUGAUCUGUUCCCUUUCCAGGUGUGGCCACAUUGAAUAGAUUCUUCUGUGUUUCCUGCCCGUUGUCCCCUUCGCCUCCUUUUAGACAAGAGUCUUACGCAUUCCAGCCUCACCUCAGACUUGCUGUGUUAAGGAUGACCUUAAACCUCUGAUCCUCCUGCUCCUGCCUCUCAAGUUCUGGGGUUUCAGGCCUGUGACAACUGUCUUGUUGGGGACUGACAAGUGCUAAGUGAGCAUUCAACCAACUGGUCAUCUCUAAUUGGUGUAGAGGCCAAGCUCUGUUGGUUGACUGCCAGAGUCCCCUCUCCUACCCUAAAUCUCUGGUUAGUUAGAGGGCUGUUCAGCUCACACUGGGGAAUCGAGUGUUGAGGGCAACAGGGACUCCAUGUUGCUAUUCCCCUUCUGAAACAGUUGGGAAGAUAAGGGGUCACGAGUCACAUCUGGAGGCGGCCAGCAGUCCUCCUUGCCCUACCCAGCCUUUCCCUCGCGGGCUCAUCUCUAGAUCCUUCCUCCAGAUGUGGAAAGCCCGCCCAGGAUGGGAGGGAAACCUAUAGGGCCCGGGGGAGAUGCUGUCAGAUCUGGAAUGAGGCUGGGCUGCCCCAUCAUCCCCAGACCCGCCCUCAAGUAACCACACUCAGUCUUUCCUCUGAGGUCUGCACAGACUUCAGUUAUGGGGCAGGACUGUCGGGGCCCUGGCCAGUUAAUUCCUCUACAAUUCCAACUGUGUGUGUGUGUGUGUGUGUGUGUGUGUGUGCCCUUCUCUCACAUCAGGAACAGGACAAACACAUCAGGCAGGGUUCCAGACAGAGGAGCAGAGGUGAGGCAGGCAGUUGCCAGGCCAACCCAGGGGCUGGGAGCUCAGGGUACCAGGAGCUGUCCCCACCUGGUCAUGACCUGAAUAGAAGACCAGCACCACCGGGAAGUGUCUGAGGCGGGGGCACUUCUCUGUAGUUGCUGUCUGAGCAGCCUGGCCAUGGAGGAGCACGGUGUGAGGAGCAGUCAGUCUCCUGACAGGGCCUGGAGACUCUGGUUUUGCUUCCAGCCUGCUUAUUCAGCCUCUGUUUGCAGCUGUAUGUACAGUGUAAGUGUAACGCAUAGGCCAGGACUCAGGUCUGAGCCGCUUCACGGGUGACCUUUGUCUUGAGACAGUCUUACUCUGAAGCCCAGGCUGGUCUGGAAUUUGAAGCAGUCCUGCCUGGGAUAACAGUGUGUGUUCAGCAUACCUAGCCGAGCCCAGGUUUUAUAGUCCCCUUGUGGCUUCUUUCAAGGUUACCUUCCUUGGUGUCUGGUAGACCCUCUCCUGUUCCUCUCCCACCCGAGCUGUGGUAUGGAUUUGCCAGAUGCUAAUAGCCCCUGUAACGGGCACUAUGGUUUUUAAGGCUGGGUGGACAGAGAUAAAGUCCCUUCUGUGCCCCACACCCCGAAGUACUCAGGGACUCCUGGUGGUGGCACCCACUUAUCUGUCAGGCCCAGUGCCCGGCGCCUUGCUUUCAAAGGCUAUCUCAUUUGAGCAUAUCAUCUCUCCUUAGUGUCUGCCCACCUGGUGAAUGUCUGUCCAGGGAACAGCAGCUGUGGCCUAGAUCCCAAACAGAGGCAAGGCGGAGAACAGAGGCAAGCGUGGAUUUGGGGGCUGUAGCCCUGGGUGUUGGUUAUUCUGAAUAAUGUCUACAUUCUAGAAGGUAGCAGUAUGCGGACCAUUCCAGGGUGAGUCGAGGAUUGCAGGUAUUGAGGUAGAAUGGUUUUUUUCCUUCCUUGUUUCCUAAGGCCAAAGGCGGGCCCUGAGGAGGAUUCUCCCUCAGGCUCCUGCAGUGGUCAGCAGAGUCCUCUGGAAUUCUGUUCAGAAGCCCAGCCCUCUGAUGUGGGCGUAGCUUACCCACAUAGGUCCCAGCCAGCAGCUCCUACCCCUCCCUGAUGGUCUACACCGCUUGCAGCCAGCAGUGGCAGUGAGCCAUGGGGCUCACAGGUCCCAACCACAGCACCCACUAAGCUGGCUCCAACACGGAGUCCUCGAAGUCAGAGCAGGGAGGCACCCCAGAGGUGCCGUGACCCAUCCCCCCACAUCUUAUGAUGCAGUUUAAGGAUGUGGAAACCAGAGAGGGAGGCUACUUGGCUGUGCUCUCUGGGAGCUCUCUGGGGCUGAGGAGAACAUGGACCUGGGCACCAGGACUUGAAAGCUGUUUGAAGGGUAGAAGGGCAGCUUGUGCUGGCUCCCCUGCUGUGCCUCCUUGCUGCCGCUCCCAUCCCACUUUUCCAGGCAGUCAUCUCUCUCAUGAGUUUGUUUCCUACUUGGGGUCUGUCCUCUUCUGAUCCCAGGCCGCAACCUCCAGGGCUCAGGCCUAAGCCUCUUUAUAUGUUUUAGAGUGUUAGUUUGAAAUUAUUGCAUUAGAGCUGGAGAGAUGGCUCAGUGGUUAAGAGCACUGACUGCUCUUCCAAAAGUCCUCAGUUCAAAUCCCAGCAACCACAUGGUAGCUCACAACCAUCUGUAAUGAAAUCUGAGGCCCUCUUCUAGUGUGUCAGAAGACAGCUACAGUGUACUUAGAUGUAACAAUAAAUCUUUAAAGAAAAAAAAAAAAA